rnacentral:misc_RNA from 1 species
GAUGAAGAACGUAGCGAAACGCGAUAGGUAAUGUGAAUUGCAGAAUUCCGUGAAUCAUUGAAUCUUUGAACGCAUAUUGCGCCUUCUGGUAUUCCGGUAGGCAUGUCUGUUUGAGCGUCAGCAAAAACCCCUUCGGCAUGGGUGUGUAUAUAUAUGCUCCUGCCGGUGUUGGGUCAAGAAGGCUGAUAGGUGACAGCUACGUCCUUACCUGCCCCUGCCCUAAACUUGCUGUACGACCGCUAGCCCGUUCGGGUCUGGUUUAAUGGAGUGGUAUUGUUAGUCUUCCAAUGAACCUGCCGGAAGCUCUUGCGGCAUCAAACUUUAGAUCUUCCCCUUCAUGGUGAAGGCUCUUGAAUUUUUGACCUCAAAUCAGACAAGGAUACCCGCUGAACUUAAGCAUAUCAAUAAGCGGAGGA